GACUUUUGACAUAGGUUAUGGAUAUGAUGAGUCAGAUUCAUUUCUUGACAAUUCUGAAGCAUAUGAUGAAGUUGUUCCUUCUGACUGGACAACUGAACAUGGUGGGUUUUACAUAAACGAAGGGAAUUUAGACUUCAAACCAGUAUCUCAGAGUGCCAAUGAUAAAAUACUGCAAAAGGUGUUUGCAAGUGG
rnacentral:lncRNA from 1 species